CGUCCUUGUGCUACUCUUAUUUCCCUUUUGGAUGUAGUUCACAGAGAGAAAACACCUGAGUGGUUUGACUGAUGCUUCUAGAUGAUGGGCUUCAUUAUUUUAGAGGAGGCAUAAGAGAAGAGAGAUGUCCUGUGUAUGCUAAGAAACUUAGAAUUGUCUGUUGGAGAUUAAUCCAGGGGAAAAGGCAAGAAAAACAAUUUUAAUCUAUAUAGGAGGCAACAGAGAAGUUUCUGGGAUUCCAUUUUUCACACCUUACAUCAUAAUGAAUAAAUUAUCCAAGAUCAUGUCAGCUGCCCUUCUAAUCACCAUGCUAAAUUUGUUUUUUCAAGUUGUCUCUGAGAAGCCCGGAGAAAAUGGUAAGUUUAAGAAUGAGUGAAGUAAUAGAUCUGAAUACUUAUUGUACUGGACUUAUGGUGUCAAGAAAAGUUUUGCAGUUUUUUUGAGUACCUGAAGAAAGUAAUUUCCACAGAUAUUAUCUGGUAUACUCAUUCUAUCAUUUUAUCACUCAGUGGUCACAUUAAACUUGUACUGACCCUGGGAAUCAACACUGCUAAAGACAUAAGAUUGCAGACUCCAGAAUCUGGAGGGUUCACAAAUUCUAGUGGAGGAAUAAUGAGAAUGAGGGGAUUAUUCAGGAAGAAUUAGGACUAAUCUGUAUGAAUUUUUUUUUAAGUUCACAGUAAGGUUUUACUUUUUCAACUUUUUUCUUCCAGUUUAAGAUAUAACUGACACACUGUACUGUAUAAGUUUAAAGUAGAGAGCAGAAUCAUUUGCCUUACAUUUAUCAUGAAAUAAUUAGUUUUAUAAUUUUAGUCAACAUCCGUCAUCUCAUAUAAAUACAUAUUUAAAAUAGAA